UCUUAAGGAACGGUCUGGAGUAAUUAUUCAUUUACUGGGACAAAGAGAUGACCCAGAGUAAGGUAUUGAACAAAGGCACCUGCCUCAGUACAGCAUCUAACCCAAGUCUUAGGCCAAAGAGUUCCCUUUUUAAAAUACCCUCCAGCAUCAUCCUUUCUUUACCUCAGGACCUCCCAUUAAGAACAAUCCAAAGAUUGCUUAGGAGAACUGUAUUAGGUGUCUUGAUCACUGCAGAGACCUCACAUGUAGAGUUUACAAAUGCAUUAGUAAUGCCUCUUUAUAAAGAGAGAAAAGGUUAAAAAUAAACAAUUAAGACUGAGCUGCUCAGAGAAAAGGAGCAACAUACGACUUCAUAUCAGCCUGUGAAAUCUUUUGACUUUCAAUGUGAAGCCACAAAAUAAAAACCAUUUAUCAGAAGUUGUCUCAAUUCUAUGCUGUGAAAACCUCUAGAAUUUUUUUCAGGAGUCUUUGUCUUUCCAAAUUUUCCUUCUAUUGGGGAGCUAUGGCUAUUCUCCAGGAGCAAUUUCAGGCAGGGUGUCACCCCACCCCAUGCCCUGCCAGCAUACAUUAUUUGCUCUAGUGAAGCGGGUCUACGCUGCACAGCCACACAUGAGGACAACCCACCCUAAAGCUCACUUGAUUUUCAGAUCAUUUUAGUGCCCACCCAGUUCAUAUACCAAACAUCAGGGGUACAACUUUCCCUUUAAGAGGGGUGCAGUGCACAGGGACAUGUAGGUGACAUGAACACAAACUUGUGUGCCCUGCUGUGCACUGUAAGCUGUUGUAAAGCCCCUGGAGAGGAGCCCAGCAUUUGUUGAUGAAAGGUGGGUAUGGAGUCAAGCACAGAACCACAGCAUCACAGAAAGACCUGCCCUCUUCUAGUUGCUUCUAGAACUCCCCAUUGCAGCCCAUGGAGGGCUCCACACUGGAGCAGGUGGAUGUGAACUGAAGGAAGCUGCAGACAAUGGAGACCCCAUGCCAGAGCAGGACUUGGGGCCCCAUAGGGAACCCACACUGGAGCAGUCUGCUCCCAGAAGGACUAUACCUCAUGGAAAGGACCUAUGCUGGAGCAGUUUUGAAGAACUGCAAGCCUUAGGAAAGACCUAUGUUGGAGAAGUUCAUGAAGGACUGUGUCCCAUAUGAGAGACACCACAGUGAAGAGCAUGAGGAGGGAGCAGCAGACAAGAAAAAAAAUGAACUGACUGCAGCCUCAUUCCCUCUUCUCCUGUGCCUCUUGGGAAUGAAGUAGAGCCAGGGAAGUAGGGAGGAGUGCAGAGAAGGAUACAGAUGAAAGAAAAAUGGUUAACAGCAGAAAAUAAGAGCUGAUUUCCACAAAGCUCCACCAGAGACACACACAUGUGAUGAUGAAUCUUCAUUGCCAAUGGCAUUUAGAGAGCUAUCUGUCAGCCAGGCAAUAAUGCAUUAAAAGUAUGUCAUGUUGAUUGUAUCACUUUUUUUUUUUUAGUCGAAAUGUCAGCCAACAUAAAGUCAAAACCAACUAAGGAUUAUAUUACAUUGACACUAAUACUUUCAUCAAUAGAUAUCAAAUUGCUUUAACAAAAUCUAUUUUCAAUAACAUGUUUUAAUAUAAAUUGAUCAUAUUAUGUUCCUAUCAUAGUUUAAGAAUUUAUAAGUUGUUUUAUAUUUUUUUCCUGGGGAAGUUACCAAGGGAAUAGACUUAUAACAUCCUAGGUCAUUAUCACUGGCAGGAUAGAAUAAAUGACAACCCACAGUGGUUCUGGAUACUGGAGUGCAUUUAAGAACCUCUGACAUUAGAGCUGUUGACCUACUUGAUUACUUUACAUAUACACUGCACUCACUUGAUCCCACAGCAUUUUCCUAAGUAUCAACUUCCUUUCUCAUCAGGGAGAUUGCUGCUGGUCUGGGAAGGUCAGGAGAAAAAUCAUUCUGGUUCCCACUGUGCUGCUGCUCACACUUACCUCUACCAGGAAUUAUUGGCAAAGGUCCCUGGGUACUCCCCAGCAUUUGUGUCCCUGUAGCUGUUCCAUCUUGGGAUCUUUCCCCAUUUCCAGGAUCUUCAGCACCUCCUUUCUAGGUUUCUUUUUCUCCGAGACCAUUUUUCUCUAGGGACUCUUCUUUUCAACACCAUUUCCUCUUUGCGGAAUCCUAAGCUCUUGCUUUUUCUCCUUUAUAAAUAGUGUAUGUGCCUAAUAAUCUAGGCACAACGUGUGACCAGCUCCCUAAUUCAGUGGUUCUGUUUCAUGUCUUCCUAUUAAGUGCAAGCUAUUUUUUUUCACUUAUGACAUGCUUUUUUUUCUAUUAAUAAAUAAUGCUCCUGACUUCUUUCAGGCCUCUAAAGCUUAUCUACUGUUGUAUUGUAUUAAUUAAUUAAUAUUAAUGGCCCAGAGAGGUCUUCAGCCAGCUAUUUAAGAAUACUAGAAAUCCAUAUUUUCAUUUUAAAAAGAAUCCAGAUGUAGUAACCUCUGUUCAGUACCCUUUUUAGUCAAUAUUGGAGUAGAAAAUACUGCAUCACUGUGAAGUAAUCUCACACAGAUAUCCAGCACAUUCAGCAAUUUCUCAUGUCUGCUAGUUUUCCUCUGAAUAUCUUGUUCAGUUAGCUGAA